rnacentral:misc_RNA from 1 species
AACGCACAUUGCGCCCUUUGGUAUUCCGAAGGGCAUGCCUGUUCGAGCGUCAUUAUCACCCCUCAAGCCCUCGGCUUGGUGUUGGACGGCUUGGUGGAGACCCCCUUUGCGGGCUUCUACCCCUCCCAAAGACAAUGACGGCGGCCUCGUUGGACCCCCGGUACACUGAGUUCUUCACGGGACACGUAUCGGACACAUGGGUUCACGGGACACGGUCUGCCUCCCCUCAGGGAGAAUCUUUUUUUAUCAAGGUUGACCUCGGAUCAGGUAGGGAUACCCGCUGAACUUAA